AUCUAGCUUUCGUGCUGCCGUGUCCCAUGCCUGUUGUUUGAGUGCCAUCGAAGGUCCCCCGCAUCGUCUCCCCAUAAUAGGUUUUAUACAUGGUGGGCUAAUUUCAGUUUGGGUAGCUUCAUGUUUGAUUGUGUUGGUUAGAAUGCAGGUUAUCAAGGCCAAAAAGACAAGGCUUGGGCGUGCCCAGAAGACCAAUAUAUGCUCAUUAUUCUACUGCAUUGGAACUCUAGUUGUGUUAACCGGUGAUUACUUGUUGUAUGCUAGACCAUUGGAUUGCGCCUUGCUGAUACCCACAGGCCCAGCUUGUUGAAGUGAAUGCACAUUGUUUGUUCAGUAAAUGGUUCUCUGAAAGUGGCAAGCUGGUAUGUAUACAUGCUUUUAUGUUUCUCACUCUUUCUUGCUGUAAUGGAUUUGGUUGUUGAAGUGAAUGCACAUUGUUUGCUUAUUGUUUGUUCAGUAAAUUAGUUCAUGUCAUCCCCAUCUGGACACUUAA